AGCCUGAGGAUCUCCUGCAGUGCCACAGGAGCUCUUCUGUCCUGCCUUUCUUUGCAGCUGAACCUGCUGGUGAAGGUGGUGCAGCUUCCCAACCCACAUCCAGGACUGAGGCUCUGGGAGAUGCUGAGGGUGUGUCUGCAGGGAGGACUUUCCCAGGUCCUUUGGUGGAUGUUGCAUGCAAGCCCAGCUCCCAUGGCAGGGGUCCUCCAAGACGGAAGAAGAAACCUACAGGAGCUUGUACAUCCCUGGAGGAAUCCAAAUAUCUGAAAAAACUCCUGAGUGAUGUGGACAGCCAGCGUGAUGCAGCCAGCACCUCAACACAUUCUGACAUCAUCUGGAAAAGCAUGAGAAGAGUUUUCUGCUGGGGAACACCUUGUUUGAUUAAGUUGAUGGCCAUUGUGGCUGGUGCGGCACUGUGCCUGAUGAUGUGCUGGGCAGGAAUCUGGUAUUGCUGGACGAGAAAAUGGCACCACCUUGAAGAAAAGCUGAAAGCUGGUGGCUGGUCACGAGACCUCUACAGCCAAAAGAGCAAUAGCAGCAGUUCUGAGUCCGAUUAUGAGUCUGAUGAGUGUAUAUUUGCCCCUCCAACCCCUGUGGUGCUUGGAGGCGACAGGCCCAGCACUCCAUGCAGGGCUGAAGGUGGGCAGCCCUAGAACAGGAUUUAGAAGUGCUCAAGUUAGCACUCUUGGAGAGCUUCCAAAAUCACCUCUUCCCUUUCAAUAAAGAGAUGGAGCUGUCACCCCAGUCUCUGAUGGCAGUAGCAG